rnacentral:rRNA from 1 species
UGGGGAAUAUUGCACAAUGGAGGGAACUCUGAUGCAGCGACGCCGCGUGAGUGAUGAAGGAAUUCGUUUCGUAAAACUCUGUUCUAUGGGAAGAAAAGGACUGUACCAUAGGAGAAAGCUCCGGCUAAAUACGUUCCAGCAGCCGCGGUAAUACGUAUGGAGCGAGCGUUGUCCGGAAUUAUUGGGCGUAAAGGGUGCGCAGGCGGCUUUACAAGUUGGAUGUGAAAUAUUGUGGCUCAACCACAAACGUGCAUCCAAAACUGCAAAGCUUGAGUUAAGGAGAGGUAAGUGGAAUUCCUGGUGUAGCGGUGGAAUGCGUAGAUAUCAGGAGGAAUACCGGUGGCGAAGGCGACUUACUGGGCUCAUUCUGACGCUGAGGAACGAAAGCGUGGGUAGCAAACAGG